CAGGAGCUGAAGAUUAAGUGAACACAGGAUUCUCUUCUUAGAACAGCACAAAACAGAUGACAAAUCACUAUUACAGCCAUACCUUGGUUGUCAAACGGAAUCCAUUCCAGAAGUCAGUUCGACUUCCAAAAACGUUCGAAAACCAAGGCACAGCUUCCGAUUGGCUGCAGGAAGCUCCUGCAGCUGAUCGGAAGCCGCAGAAGCCAUGUUGGCUGUUCGGGUUCCAAAGAACGUUAGCAAGCCAGAACACUCACUUCCGGGUUUGCGGCGCUCGGGAACCAAAACGUACGAGUACCAAGACGUUCGAGAACCAAGGUAUGACUGUAGUUUCAAUGGAGCACUACAUUCACAAGCAUAAUGCCAGAAUCAGGGCAGAGGGCUGUUGCCGUCCUUUUCUGUUCACUGGGUUUGCUGGAGGCAUGUGGCUGACAGCUAUUAGCAGCAAGAUGCUUGUCUGAAUGGACCUCUGAUCUGAUCUGCAAAGUUCUUCUUCUAUUUAAUGUCCCAGUGUGUCUUUAAGGCUGCACAAAGAUUGCAAUGUCCUCCUGCCUGCUUUCCACUUUCACUGUAUCUCAGUGCAAUUGAAGCUUCGAAACACAAGAUGGCAGAACAACCAUCAUCUUGAAGGUUGCCUACGGUUGGCCUGAUUCGAUUCUAUAAAUAAAAGCCUGGUGAGCUAGGAAGGUAGAAUCAGUACAAGCCCUGUGUGCAAUAAACCUUGGGUUGACUUUUUAUUAUUAUUUCCAGUAGCUCAAUGGGUAUGUGUUUGUGGGUGUGGGUGUUUGUAUUUUAAAGGCUGCGGCUUCUUCAAUAAAAGCACUUUAUGUGAGCAGUCAAUCAUAUUUGCAGGCAGCCGAAAGAAUUCUAACAACACAUUAGAAGCAUCUAGUGUGAUUGCACCGCUGUGAUUCUAAUGGAUUUCCCUGAAAGUUAGCAUCAUCAAAGUUGGAUCAGUUCUGUGGGCCUUCCAGAACCAGCACCUCAACUUUUGCCCCCUACCAAAGCCCUACAGUAGCAGGAUAUGUCCCAAGUAUUUUCAUCCCAUCUU